rnacentral:rRNA from 1 species
UACGUAGGGUGCAAGCGUUGUCCGGAAUUAUUGGGCGUAAAGAGCUCGUAGGCGGUCCGUCACGUCGGCUGUGAAAACCUGGGGCUCAACCCCGGGCCUGCAGCCGAUACGGGCGGACUAGAAUUCGGUAGGGGAGACUGGAAUUCCUGGUGUAGCGGUGAAAAUGCGCAGAUAUCAGGAGGAACACCGGUGGCGAAGGCGGGUCUCUGGGCCGAUAUUGACGCUGAGGAGCGAAAGCGUGGGGAGCGAACAGG